GAUUUCUGACUUGGCGCACCUGGCCCGCCACGGUUACGUGUGUGAGUGCCGGGAUGCGCCUGUCACUUUUCUGGUAAACCAUUGUGCUCUUCACUGAGUGUGAUGGGUAGCCAGAUAUUUUACUUUGAAAAAAUUAGAGUGUUUAAAGCAGGCGUUUGCUAUGAAUACAUUAGCAUGGAAUAAUAAUUUAGGACUUUUGUUCUAUUUUGUUGGUUUCUAGGACGAAAGUAAUGAUUGAUAGGGAUAGUUGGGGGUGCUAGUAUUCAGCGGCCAGAGGUGAAAUUCUCGGAUUCGCUGAAGACUAACUUAUGCGAAAGCAUU
rnacentral:rRNA from 1 species